rnacentral:lncRNA from 10 species
GGCUCUAUUCAGCGGCGCUGGCUGGAGCUGAGAUGGAAGUUAGUUUCUAUGUAGCAGAAAUAUGAAACAAAUGAAGCAAAACUGCCCAGAGAGGGGAAAUGCCCCAAGGAUGGGUCUCACUCACGCGCGUACACAGACACACACGCAGAGAGCACUCUCACGCUGGGCAAGCUCGGGAUCGCGCUACCCUUCCCGAGUUGAAUGAUAGUGUUUGGUUUCUGUCUCUUGCCAUGUGCAUGUGUAUAAAUGCUGCGGAUUGGCAUCUGUGUAAGUCUUGUCCUGCGUUAUUUCUGCAGCCUAUGCAAGUGUUGUGUAAUUUAUUGGAGUGCUGUAUAUUGCAAUAGAGGUUUGGGCUGCUUUUUGUUAAGCACUUGCGUUUUGCAAACCCGUUAUUUGCUGAAGCCACCUCUGCAUAUUUCUUUUAUUACUGCCAUUGCCUUUGGCGUACGUUUUUUAAAUGUUUUUUAUUGUUAAACGGGCAAAGCGAACUCUUGAUUUGUACUUCAGAUACUCUUUUUCCUUAUUACAAAAAGGCUAGUGAUGGCUAAUUAGGUAUUUGGAAUUAAAGAACCUUAAAGCUUUUUUAAGUGUUUACGAGAAGGGAGAAUGUAAACCUGAGGGAAAGGAAAGGACGCUAAUAUUCAUGUCUAACUGAUCUGGAGGUAAUUUAGUGACAGAUCGAUAACCUGCCUAAGGAUAUUGAAAGAGUAUACUACAGUUUAGCCAAGGUGAAUAGUGAUUAAAUAAUUUAAAUAAUC